ACAUGACUCAGACACAGUUUGGUGGACUUUUUCAGACUCCAGACAUCUGCCAGAAUGUGAACAAUGAAUGUGAAUGUCCUGUGUAAGCUUAAGAGGAAGCUUUUGGAUGAUUCUUGGAUAGAUCUUUUCUAAAUGUCAAUUAGAACUCAUUGAUGGAUGCUGCUGCUUGUUUCAACUAUAUUCUCAGUGAUUUAUUGCCUGCUGGAUUUUUCAGCUGUGGGUGGAUGUCAAAUUCGUGGCUGGCUGUAACUGAUCUGCUUAUUUGUCCUGCAGUUCUUUCUGUAGUGUCUCAUUUAUUUUGACUUUCUAUUAUUAGGUAUGCAGAAAUUAAAGAUUCUUAUAUAUUCUGUGAACCUGGAACAUUUCCAUAAGCUGUAUCUCUUUAUCCCUGACUGUUACUUUCUUA
rnacentral:lncRNA from 1 species